GACGAACGCUGGCGGCGUGCCUAACACAUGCAAGUCGAACGGGGAAUUAGCAAUAAUUCUUAGUGGCGAACGGGUGAGUAACGCGUAGACAACCUACCCUUUAGAUGGGGACAACACCGCGAAAGUGGUGCUAAUACCGAAUAUUGCUUGAGAAGCGCAUGCUUUUCAAACUAAAGAUGGCCUCUAUUUAUAAGCUAUCGCUAAAGAAUGGGUCUGCGUCUGAUUAGCUAGUUGGUGAGAUAAAAGCUCACCAAGGCAACGAUCAGUAGCCGGUCGGAGAGGAUGAACGGCAACACUGGGACUGAGACACGGCCCAGACUCCUACGGGAGGCAGCAGUGGGGAAUCUUCCGCAAUGGACGAAAGUCUGACGGAGCAACGCCGCGUGAGUGAUGAAGGUUUUCGGAUCGUAAAACUCUGUUGUUAAGGACGAAUGUAUAGAUUGUGAAUAAUGGUUUAUAAUGACGGUACUUAACGAGGAAGCCACGGCUAACUACGUGCCAGCCGCCGCCGUAA
rnacentral:rRNA from 1 species